AAGUCGUAACAAGGUUUCCGUAGGUGAACCUGCGGAAGGAUCAUUAAUAAAUGUGAAUUCGGCGAAACCGUAAGGUUUUUCGCCGGAUAAAACUUGUAUUUAAAACCUUCACUCUUGUAAAAAAAACUAUAUUUUUUAUUAUAAAAAAAAAUAAAAAAGAUCACUUUCAACAACGGAUCUCUUGGCUCUC
rnacentral:misc_RNA from 1 species